rnacentral:rRNA from 1 species
GACGAACGCUGGCGGCGUGCUUAACACAUGCAAGUCGAACGGAAAGGCCCUGCUUUUGUGGGGUGCUCGAGUGGCGAACGGGUGAGUAACACGUGAGUAACCUGCCCUUGACUUUGGGAUAACUUCAGGAAACUGGGGCUAAUACCGGAUAGGAGCUCCUGCUGCAUGGUGGGGGUUGGAAAGUUUCGGCGGUUGGGGAUGGACUCGCGGCUUAUCAGCUUGUUGGUGGGGUAGUGGCUUACCAAGGCUUUGACGGGUAGCCGGCCUGAGAGGGUGACCGGCCACAUUGGGACUGAGAUACGGACCAGACUCGUACGGGAGGCAGCAGUGGGGAAUAUUGCACAAUGGGAGGAAGCCUGAUGCAGCAACGCCGCGGGCGGGAUGACGGCCUGCGGGUUGUAAACCGCUUUCGCCUGUGACGAAGCGUGAGUGACGGUAAUGGGUAAAGAAGCACCGGCUAACUACGUG